rnacentral:tRNA from 1 species
GGCGGGGUUCCAGAGCGGUCAAAUGGGCUCGGCUGUAAACCGAGUGUCUCGUACUUCGCAGGUUCGAAUCCUGCCCCCGCCA